GCCGCGAGGAGCCACAUGUGCCCGGGGCCAGAGCAGGGGCGUGGGGGGAGCUCCUCGGAAGCCCUGGCUUCCACCACCUCCACAGCCCCCACCCUUGCCUCCACCACCGCCCCGAAGGUCUUCGCGCUGGCCCCCGGCUGUGGGACCACAUCUGACUCCACGGUGGCCCUGGGCUGCCUUGUCUCCGGAUACUUCCCCGAGCCAGUGAAGGUGUCCUGGAACUCGGGCUCCCUGACCAGUGGCGUGCACACCUUCCCUUCCGUCCUGCAGUCCUCAGGGUUCUACUCCCUCAGCAGCAUGGUGACCGUGCCUGCCAGCACCUGGACCAGCGAGACCUACAUCUGCAACGUAGUCCACGCGGCCAGCAACUUCAAGGUGGACAAGAGAAUCGAGCCCAUUCCCAACAACCACCAAAAAGUGUGCGACAUGAGCAAGUGUCCCAAAUGCCCAGCUCCUGAGCUCCUGGGAGGGCCUUCGGUCUUCAUCUUCCCCCCGAAUCCCAAGGACACCCUCAUGAUCACCCGAACACCCGAGGUCACCUGCGUGGUGGUGGACGUGAGCCAGGAGAACCCUGAUGUCAAGUUCAACUGGUACAUGGACGGGGUGGAGGUGCGCACAGCCACGACGAGGCCGAAGGAGGAGCAGUUCAACAGCACUUACCGCGUGGUCAGCGUCCUCCGCAUCCAGCACCAGGACUGGCUGUCAGGAAAGGAGUUCAAGUGUAAGGUCAACAACCAAGCCCUCCCACAACCCAUCGAGAGGACCAUCACCAAGACCAAAGGGCGGUCCCAGGAGCCGCAAGUGUACGUCCUGGCCCCACACCCAGACGAGCUGUCCAAGAGCAAGGUCAGCGUGACCUGCCUGGUCAAGGACUUCUACCCACCUGAAAUCAACAUCGAGUGGCAGAGUAAUGGGCAGCCAGAGCUGGAGACCAAGUACAGCACCACCCAAGCCCAGCAGGACAGCGACGGGUCCUACUUCCUGUACAGCAAGCUCUCCGUGGACAGGAACAGGUGGCAGCAGGGAACGACAUUCACGUGUGGGGUGAUGCACGAGGCUCUCCACAAUCACUACACACAGAAGAACGUCUCCAAGAACCCGGAGAUGGUCCUGGACGAGAGCUGUGCCGAGACCCAGGACGGGGAGCUGGACGGGCUGUGGACCACCAUUUCCAUCUUCAUCACGCUCUUCCUGCUCAGCGUGUGCUACAGCGCCACCGUCACCCUCUUCAAGGUGAAAUGGAUCUUCUCCUCGGUGGUGGAGCUGAAGCGGACGAUCGUCCCCGACUACAGGAACAUGAUCGGGCAGGGGGCCUAGGGUCACUCCACCUGGGCAGGUUUCCACGGCUGCCCAGAUGUUAGACGGUGUCCAGGUCCAGAAGUUCAUGCUGCUCAGCUGCUGUGCAGACCUGCUCCUCCGCCUUCUGACAUCGCAAACCUCUGACCUCACUGCCCUCUGACCUUAUGGCCACCUUUACCUGCCCCUCGCUCUCUGGCCUCCCAGCCACCACAGGCUGCAUCCAGCCCCUUGACCCCAGGGGAGAACCAAGUGGACGGCAGUUGUAACCCCGAGUGGAGUUGGUGGAUACCCACAAGCCCCGUUGUAACAGCCGCCAAGAGACACUGGGGCCGUGUGGACGAUGAGGCCUUGGGGCUGAGCAUCCCUCACCGGGACAGACCCGGGGUCGGAAAAUCAGUCACCCUGGAGAAGGUGAGGGCCAGCCUUCCCAUGGCCGUCUGGGCAGGGACAGGCCUUUGUGUGAACCGCAUCCCUGCCAGGCUCCAGGAUGCAGGAGGAGACACCUGGUUUCAGAUCCUCGAGUGGGAGCAUCUGCCGCCAAGGCCCGGAGGCCCCGGGGCCAUCGUCCACCAGCAGGGAAGCUUCCGGGUGUGCACCUCACGGUCACUCGGAUCACCACCACCCGAGGAGACUGCUAGAAGGAGGA